CACUAUCUUGUGGCUGUCGGUCCCGGGUGCCACAAGUGCUUGGGUUAAUAGGGAAGCCGGUUCGAAUCCGGCACUGCCCCGCAGCGGUAUGUGGAAACGACCGCCGUCAUAGAGCACUGGGACCUGGGGUCCCGGGAAGCGACGGCCAGUAGGAGAGGCGCCCGCCUCGCGUCCACGAGUCCGAAGACCUGCCGACAGCCGCGCGAAGCA
rnacentral:ncRNA from 2 species